UCCAUCAGCAAAUCCGCGUAUCUCUGU
rnacentral:misc_RNA from 1 species